CCCGCUCUCCGGCGACCCGCCGAGCUACCUCACCGGCGAGUUCCCCGGCGACUACGGCUGGGACACCGCGGGCCUGUCGGCCGACCCCGAGACCUUCGCCAAGAACCGGGAGCUGGAGGUGAUCCACUGCCGUUGGGCCAUGCUCGGCGCGCUCGGCUGCGUCUUCCCGGAGCUGCUCGCCCGCAACGGCGUCAAGUUCGGCGAGGCCGUGUGGUUCAAGGCCGGCUCCCAGAUCUUCAGCGAGGGCGGCCUCGACUACCUCGGCAACCCCAGCCUGGUGCAUGCGCAGAGCAUCCUUGCCAUCUGGGCCUGCCAGGUGGUGCUGAUGGGCGCCGUGGAGGGCUAC
rnacentral:lncRNA from 1 species